UACGCAUUAGCCAAGAAAAGUCGUGCACGGUAACAAGAAAAAAAUUGAGAAGUGCAAAAAUAUGGAAUAAAAUUGCCAAGAUCGAAAUUUAAUAUGCUGCAAUGGUAUAGUGGAAAUUAGUUCUCACCGCUACUGCUCAGAAUAGCCUAAACACGCAGCGUGACAUGACCUGAAAUUUCGGAACUUUUAAAAUUGAAAUGCAAAACGCAAUUUAUGAAGCAAUGGAAUAUUUUAACGCAAAUGAUUUCGCAAAGAAAUAAAAUUGUCUUUAGCGCUAUAUGAACUUCGAAAGUAGUUUAUUAUAACUCAAUUAUUGGAUAACUUUUAUUGAGUUUCAAUAUUUGCUAACAACACAAAAGCAAAGCAAAGUGCAUAAGCUUUUGUGACAUAGAGCAUGUGUUUCUACUUCUCAAUAAAAAAGGUCCUGAGUUUGAGUCUCGAACCAGCAAAAUGAUUUUUUUCAUACAAUGCCAUAGUCAGCUAAUUAAAUUUUAGUUCAAAUCUAACUAACAGUUAUUAAAUUAUGCUUACUUCCGAGCACGUUAUUGUCAUGAAAUAAAAAUUGUAAACAUGUUAGUUACAUAAAUUAAACUAAAAUUAUAAAUUUCUUCGAGUAUCGAGUUCAGAGGUAUCGUUGACGGCAAUAUGCCUUCACCCAUGCUUGGUAAAGUGCUUGUUUAUUCCAAAGAAAAAAAUUUAAGUAAAACUACUAACAACACCUGAGUUUUGAACUAUUUCAACUAUACUCAUGAAAAGUUAGUUGAUUUCUAACCCCUUACGAAAUUUUAGUUAAUUAGUUAUCAUGAACUAACGUAUGUUAUUAACUCAUAUUUACGAUAAGCUUUUUUCUGAGUGUAGAAGUAGAAGAACGACUGACAUGUUUGUUAGACUGAAUAAACAAUGUUAACAACAAUCACAUUUCCAUAACCUUUGCAAAAAACCUUCUUGGAAUUUUCUAUUGGCAAAUUACAUUUUACAACAAUGGGGGAAAGAGAAGCAGAGCGAAGGAACAGAACAGCAGCAUCAUUGUAUAGGCCUGGUGGCAUAAAUAGGAAAAUUGUUCAAGGACAUUUCAACAACAUUCAAGUAGUGAAAAGUGUAAUCAACAAAGAGUUUGGCGCAGAACACUUCAAUGGAAUUCCAUUACAAGUCAACAUCUGCUUUUUUUUCAUCUUAAUAUCAUUGUAAAAUACCUGAAAAUAUGAUAUUGGGAAACAUUUUGAAAUAUGAUGAUAGCGAUAAUGUUGUUGUUGGCAUUUCUCAUCAUCACAAGUGGAGGAUGGUUUUACACAUUUUGUUACCAGAGAACAUAGUUGCAUAAUUAAUAAGUGAUAAAGUAUUUUAGUAUGAGAGAGAGACAUGAGAGAGAGGGAGAGAGAGAGUGAGUGAAGGGGGUACAGUGUCAGAGAGGAUCUGAAAAAUGCUAAA
rnacentral:sRNA from 1 species